CCCCAGGGUGCAAGCCACAACAUAUAUCUGCGAAAGCAGAACCGAAGGAACACCAUUGGGCAGACGGAGGCUUUGGGCUUUUUAAAAAGCGUUUCAUGUGUUGAGAGUGAAAAGGGGGAAUAUAAGAAAGAAGUGAAGUCCAGAUUUCCUAAAGUACAUCUCAGAUGGGAGAUUUAGUCCUGGUGCCUGAAUUUGAGGGUCUCUCACACUGCUCAUCUCAACAAUCAAUUUUUACUGCUGUAGAAGAUAAUAAUGGUAAUAACACUAUAGAAAAAAACUACCAUGACCUAUAAGUUAUUAGUCUUUUAAAAAUAACUGUAGUGUAUGCAGCUUCUUCAUUUCCUGAAGUAGAAGAGAAGCUGAUAGUUGGAGCCUCUGAAGCUGUUCAUAUAUCUCCUGAAUGCAUGCAAGAGGUUGAUUUGCUCACAAAGGAAGAGCAGCUUUGAGAAUGGGCCACAUGGAUGAGAAAAGCGACCCAACAUUAGAAAUCUGCUGAGGACAAUCACCUUCUGGCCCACCUGUCUUCUUGCACCAAGUUCCAGCAAAAAGCUCGCAUCAUGACACACUAGUGCUUUAUCAUCCUACAACAAAAAAAAGUCAGGAUUCGAGGCCAGUUAAAGUGAUGCUCUUAGGUAGCAAAUUGUCAGUAUUCCCAAAAGGACAGUCCUCUGAUGGUGCUUUUGAUACUGAAAUUUCAAAGAUCUCUGUUCACCUGAAUGACAUCCAUAAAUUAAGUCUCCCACAAAGUCCAAAAUGUUCUUCUAUUGCAUUUAACAGAGAAGAUACAAAAUAUAAAACUUUAUUUCAUGUGUGUGCAGAUUUCCAUAUGCUUAACAAGAACUCACCUGGUUUCUAUAUUAUGUGAAAAGAUUGUCCUUAUAAGACAAAUUAUAUUCUAGUCACUUUCAAAUGAAGUGGAUUCACCAAGCACACAGUUUAUCUCAGGAUCUGGAAGCCUUCCUUAAAGCAUGACUGUGCAACAAGAGUUUUAAUGCCACUCCACUCUGUAAUGCACUGCAUGUUAACAAGAUUUAUAUACAUUACUGGUGCCGUUAAGGAAACUUAAAUGACUUGCAGUUUCUCUAGAUGAGAUUUUAAAAAAUCUUAAAAAGGGUGUGUAGCAUACAAAUGAAAUCAGAUUACAUUAGAAGUUGUUUAAAAGUACAAACAUAAUACUGCUUGUGUACCAGCUAUGGAACACACAGCAAAGACUUGUUUUACUUCAGACAAGCAUUCUACAGUCACUGAACAUAAAAAACCAUAAAGUUACAGCUGCUUUUAAAAUGUCACUUAGGGACAAACUGUAUAGAUGGGAAAUUAGAUAGUACUGAAUGGUUCUGGAGAAGGACCAGGCCUGUACUCUGAACUCCUAACUCUGCAUUCAUGAGAAAGAAUAAAAUAUUUCUCAUCACUAAUCAUGUUUUCAUAUGUAGGUACCUGUACCUACAAUGUGAUCCAAAUAAUUUAUCAGAUUCAGAAUGAUUAAUACUUUCCAAACUAUACUUAAAAUUGAGUCUAGUUAUAUUGUAUGAAAAUUGAGAAAAAUGAGGUAGAUGAUGUUUGGGUAACAAUUAAAAUUUUAGGCAGAUGCUUGAAUGUCCGUAAUUUUUUAAAAUGGGGGACUCUACAGUACAUGCUGCAAAAAUGACUCAAGCUAGGAUUUUCAGAAUAACCUAUAUUUUAAAAGUGCAGAACAAUGUCAAAUCUUUAAGCUUUCAAGCAGAGGAUUCGCAAUAAAAUGAAAUCAUUAGGCAAAGAGUGGUCACUGUUACGAUAAGAAGAAAAAAUAAUUCAAAAUUCUCAUAUCUAUUAUUAUAUUAGAAUAGUUCACUUUCUUCUCUACAUAAUAACAUUGGGUAUUAAAGAGCCAUUUAUGCAUACCUUAUUAUUAUUUAUGAAAUUACAAAUACACACAGUGUCUGAUAACUCAUCUCUCUGUAUUAAAUAGGAACAUACAUUGUUUUUUAAAAUGUCUGCCUUUUACAAUGUGUUAGGUAACAGCUUUCCAUAGCGUAAUCAUGAAUGCAUUAUAUAAUGUGCUUUAUAAGAAAUUAUUAAGGAUUAUGACUAUAGCAAUGUAAUUCGAAUAUAAAUAUGAAUAAAGCAUUUAGGAAUGAUAUUUUCACUUAGACUGUUACCUACAUAAUUUGCAGCAAUACAAUUAUCAUAGAAGAAGACAUACAUUUACAGAAAAAGCUGUUGCUACGAAUGUUAGUAAAAAUCCUAUAACGUAGGUGUUUUUCUAGCAACUUCACAAAACCCAUGCCUUUAAAAACAUGAGGAGAAUCCACAAUGCCACCUACAGUUUUCUUGACAGUAAUCUUGCCUUGGCAGGAAAAAAGGUCAGCUUUAUUUGAAAAGCCAGGUGCAUGUAAAUUUCCAAACUGCAAGUAGGUGGCAGUGGAGACAUUUCUGGAUGGCCCUUCUCAGUUGGAAAUGUAAAAGGAGGAGGAAGCUUCCUUAAAAACAAGUUAAAAACAUACUAAAAUAAAUAAUUUCCUGAAAUGUAACCUUCCAGAUCACCAUUAAGAGCUAAUAAAUUAUUUGUCUUUAGGGACCAAAAUCCCACCAAUCUCUUAAUGAAGACAACCAUAGCAUGAAAAGUGAGCAGCAUGGAUGACAAAAUUAGAAAAAAAUGAAAAGAGAGAAGUGUUGGACAAUUGUUUCCCACAAAUCUAAAAGAAAUAAUUAGGAAUUUGAUGUGGACAAGAAACUCCGAGGCUAGCAGCAUGAAAUACAUAAAUUUAAAACUAGUAACUUAGCAUUUUAAGAAGCCAUUAAGAAAUCUCCUGUUUGAAUGUGAAUUUAAGAGUAAGGGAGAUGAGUUUAUUAGGAUCUGGUCUUUAAUGAAGAAUAUCAAUUGAGUCCAUCAAAAAAUUGUGUACAAGAGGCUAUUAAACAAUGUAGACAUAUUUAAAGUGUGCUCAACUAUAAACAAACACUAGAAACAUUAGAAUAAAACCACCUGAAUUGUCUUUCAAGGUUAAUGAGUUGGCAUUUAGAUUCAUUCCAUUCUCAAGUUUACUUGCAAAGAUAAGAAGGGUCAUUAAGUUGUAUUAUCGGUUCAAUUUAAUUGAUUUGACUCGUGGACAUCAUAUUAGAAACUGGAAAAUGCCCAAGAAUAAACACUGGAGGGGUGUGUGUGUGUAUCAAUAUACAUGGAAAGAAACAGGUAAAUGUGUUGUAAGAUGGAAAAAAAGGAAGUUAAUGACAUUAUUUAUAUCGGAAUCACCACGUGAAAAGAAAUCAAGGUAAACGUCCAGAUCAAAGCUUUUUCACACCAUGACUAUCUCGAAUCAGCUUUUCUCCUUUCCUUAAUUGGUUAACCACACACACACAGUUUAACAACAAAGGCAACCAAGUGGUCAAGGGAUGCAAGAAACCUGGUGAAAACAAAUGCCACGUUCUUAGUACUACUGUUCCCCUGCCUGGAACAUUCUUCUUCUGUUCAUCUUUUAAGAUUCACCUCAAAAUCCAGAUACUCUAAAAUGCUGUUCGGAAUCCCUGAUGUGAAUUUAAUCACUCCCUCUCCUGCAGUAUUUAAAAAAACUUCUAUUAUAGCAAUUAUCACAUUUUAGAAUUAGAAUUAUUAUAGUUGUGUUUGGAUCUGAACGACCCCUAAGUCUGCAAGUCCUAGGAGGGCAGGGGUCAGUCCUUGACAAUUUUUGGAAAAUUUCUGAUGCCAUGCUCUGCAAGGAUGUUUAUCUGAAUUAGUUGAAAGGAUGACUUAAAACCAUCUCUCAAAAUACGCCAUGCUUUAAUGCUGUGGACAGUAAAGAAUCUAUGCUUUGGUGAACAACAGAAGAGUGACAUGCCUGUGACUCACUCUGAAUAGAGCCUUAUAAAGCCUUAAAAAGAAAUGUGGCACCAACCUUUACCCUCUCCUUAUAUACGCAGGAAUCCUUGGGAGCUACAGGGUUAGUUUGGUUGCUAGGAGUAAGGCCUGAGAAUUAUUAGUGAACUGGCAUCCUGGAAGCAGUAGGGGGCGUUUUACGCUGAGGAUGCUAUUGGAGGAUGUACUCACAGACUGUGUGAUGGGCGGUCACCUAGUCAUUGUCCUGGUGACCUUUUAAAUGUAAGCAGCAGGAAGCAUAACUCAGGCCUGGUAGCAGUGAUCAGAGUCAUGGGGGAACAAACUGUAAAAAUUCCAAAGCAAGGGCCAUACUGAACCCAGAAUUCUCAAAUUCAGGAAGAAACUUCCUAGGCUAAUUAAUAGAGUUUGUUACUUAGGUUUCCCACAUCAAAAGGGAUUUGGUGUCGUUGUUUUCUACCCUUUCUAUUCCUUGCCCCCUUAUGGCAUUACAGGUUCCUUUUGUUUUAUGGUGGGGGAAAAAACCAUACACACAAUGAAAGAAUAUUGAAAAAGUUCUGUAAAAGCUCCCCUGAGAGAGAAAAAUCUCUGGAAGUCAUUCUUCCUCUUGGAAAGGCGUUGGAUCAAUUUCAUUCUUCUCCAGAUAACACAUAAAACUCAGCACAGGCUAUGUAAGUAAAAGAAAGUUUCAGUGAGGGUUUGUUUCUUGCUGCCAAGGGUCUGCAACUUCGAAUUGCCUGAAAUACUGAACAUAUUGAGACAUGAAUGCUGCAAACAUCUAAAAAUAUUAGUAGUGUGGCUGCCUACAAAGAAGAUGGAGGGCCUACCUGAGGCGGCAGAGCCUCUUACAUUGGAGGGUUGGAGAGAAUCAUCCACCUGCAGGAGGCCCCCAGUCAGGAGGUUAGAAGACCAUAUUUAAGAAGAAGGAAUCACAGUCCAAGUUCGGCCUCAAACCAGUACAUUUUAAGAGUCUCAGUAGAUAGCAAAGAGAUCAUAAAAAUGACUCACCAAAAGGCAUAUAUUAAAAUUGGACUGGGAUGCAUUUUUAAGAAAGCCAGAAAACUCCAAGAGCAUAGCUUCAGAAUAAGAACAACACAUGGUUUUUUGGGGGGGAAGUUUAAUAAACUGCAGUUUUGGAUUACCUUAAUCCAUAUCCUUAAUCCACAAAAUUCUGUCAUUCACUGUUUUGGGCAAUGUGACAUUAUAUUUUAUUGUAAAGUAUUAUAGUAUAUUUCUGUUUGAUGAGUAAAA
rnacentral:lncRNA from 10 species